rnacentral:rRNA from 1 species
GACGAACGCUGGCGGCGUGCUUAACACAUGCAAGUCGAACGGAAAGGCCCUGUUUUUGUGGGGUACUCGAGUGGCGAACGGGUGAGUAACACGUGUGUAACCUGCCCUUGACUUUGGGAUAACUUCAGGAAACUGGGGCUAAUACCGGUUAUGAGCUCCUGCUGCAUGGUGGGGGUUGGAAAGUUUCGGCGGAUGGGGAUGGAGUCGCGGCUUAUCAGCCUGUUGGUGGGGUAGUGGCUUAGCAAGUCUUUGACGGGGGGCCGGCCUGGGAGGGUGACCGGCCACAUUGGGAAUGAGACACCGCCAAGAAGCCGACGGGAGGAAGGCGUGGUGGAUAGUGCCCAGUGGGCGGAAGCCUGAUGGAGCAACGCCGCGUGUGGGAUGACGGCCUUCGGGUUGUAAACCGCUUGCGCCUGUGACGAAGCGUGAGUGACGGUAAUGGGUAAAGAAGCACCGGCUAACUACGUG